rnacentral:rRNA from 1 species
AACGAACGCUGGCGGCAGGCCUAACACAUGCAAGUCGAGCGAGGACUUCGGUUCUAGCGGCGGACGGGUGAGUAACGCGCGGGAAUGUGCCCUUCUCUACGGAAUAGCCCUGGGAAACUGGGAGUAAUACCGUAUACGCCCUAUUGGGGAAAGAUUUAUCGGAGAAGGAUCAGCCCGCGUUGGAUUAGGUAGUUGGUGGGGUAAUGGCCUACCAAGCCGACGAUCCAUAGCUGGUUUGAGAGGAUGAUCAGCCACACUGGGACUGAGACACGGCCCAGACUCCUACGGGAGGCAGCAGUGGGGAAUCUUAGACAAUGGGGGCAACCCUGAUCUAGCCAUGCCGCGUGAGUGAUGAAGGCCUUAGGGUUGUAAAGCUCUUUCAGCUGGGAAGAUAAUGACGGUACCAGCAGAAGAAGCCCCGGCUAACUCCGUG